UAGAAAUCCAAAAACACAAUUAUACUAAAGUUGGAAAGAUAUGGAGAAGAUUAGGAUGGCCCCUGCACAAGGAUGACACACAAAUUCAUGAAGUGUUCCAUAUUUAA